rfam:Aedes aegypti strain Liverpool supercont1.136 genomic scaffold, whole genome shotgun sequence.
CCAUCGGCCUUUUUCAGGGCCAUACAAUUAGUGGAAAAGAGUUACA